rnacentral:rRNA from 1 species
UACAGAGGGUGCAAGCGUUAAUCGGAAUUACUGGGCGUAAAGCGUGCGUAGACGGUUGUUUAAGUCGGAUGUGAAAUCCCCGGGCUCAACCUGGGAAUUGCAUUCGAGACUGAAUAGCUAGGGUACGGAAGAGGGAAGCGGAAUUUCCGGUGUAGCAGUGAAAUGCGUAGAUAUCGGAAGGAACAUCAGUGGCGAAAGCGGCUUCCUGGUCCAGUACCGACGUUCAGGCACGAAAGCGUGGGGAG